AAAUCUAAAAGAGAUCAUGAAGAGCGAUUCGAAUGUUGGAGAAAUUGAUACAGUCAAAAAGUUCCCUCUUGUUUCAUUGGAUUACAGUAGACUUACCUACUGAGUGUCAGGAUUAUGAUCUAGUAGCUUUAGACGUUAUGGAUAAGAGAAUUGCUGUUGACAAGUGUUGAGACAAUCGUUCUAUGUUAUUGGGGCAUACUCUUUUGAUAUAGAACAGAUGAUUAAAAAACCCCAAGGAUGGGAAGCUAUAUACAUGUGGUCUCUGUUUCUGCGAGCAUUACAAAGCUGUCAAUGAUCACAAAAAAUAGUACUGACUAUGUUGUGACUUAAACUGUUACUCCUAAUGAAGAGAUGUCUCUGGGUUCUUUCUCGAAGAAACAACGCAGCCGGUGGGGUGGAGCUGUGUGAUGAUUAUAAAGGGGUCAACAAGCUGACCAUCGGUGACAAAGAUGCUCUGAACGGAUGAGAUUUUGCUGUCCAAGGAAUAAUGAAUGUUUUGCCUCUAUGGUGGAUGAUGGUGAGGUUGAUAAUAUCAAUCAAGUUUGAGGCUGAAGUGAGUGAGUCAAAGGAAUCAGUUGACUUGAGUGCAAAGCUGGCUCGUGGAAGAGAAGGCUCUGGUUCGUUCGGAGGGUUUGUAGUUGAAGAAUCUCAACUGUGUAAAUAGAAGAGACCGUUGCUAUAGUCGAUUGUGAGUGGGAACACAAACGCCAUGAGUUUAUGACCAUGCUUUAAGCCUGUGAGAAUCCAAUGAGAUUGUUGAGAGAUUCCAGUUUGAGAGUUUAUAGAUUGUAAUCAGUUCUGUUGGUAGUUGUAAUCGGUAUGGUAGAUUCUGUAAAGGAACUUCUAGAGUUCAAACUCUAUCACAUGGUGCAUAUAGACGUUCAGAUCGAAGAAUUGGUGAA